CCUGACAUUGAUGACACUUUCGAACAAAUUGAAUAGAAUCCCUUUCCAUAGUAAGCCAGUAAUAACCUGCUCGAAGAAUCUUCUUUGACAAGACAUGACCGUUCAUAUGCGACCCGCAUACUCCAGAGUGUAUUUCAACCAUGAUUGCCGAGGCUUCUCUUGCAUCUACACACCUCAAAAGUCCCAGAUCUGGGGUCCUCUUAUACAAGAUUCCCCCACUUAAG
rnacentral:lncRNA from 1 species